ACGCUCGACACCUACGGGAGUCAGCAGUGGGGAAUAUUGCACAAUGGGGGAAACCCUGAUGCAGCAACGCCGCGUGAGUGAAGAAGUAUUUCGGUAUGUAAAGCUCUAUCAGCAGGGAAGAUAAUGACGGUACCUGACUAAGAAGCUCCGGCUAAAUACGUGCCAGCAGCCACGGUAAUCUGAGCGGGCUGGCAAGGC
rnacentral:rRNA from 1 species